rnacentral:rRNA from 1 species
AGAACGAACGUUAGCGGCGCGCCUAAUACAUGCAAGUCGUGCGAGAAAGGGCUUCGGCCCCGGUAAAGCGGCGCACGGGUGAGUAACACGUAGGUAAUCUCCCCUCGAGUGGUGGAUAACCUUCCGAAAGGAAGACUAAUACAGCAUGAGACCACGACCUCGUUGAGGUUGCGGCCAAAGCAGGCCACUACAUGUAAGCUUGCGCUUGAGGAUGAGCCUGCGGCCCAUCAGCUAGUUGGUAGGGUAAUGGCCUACCAAGGCAUAGACGGGUAGCUGGUCUGAGAGGAUGAACAGCCACACUGGAACUGAGACACGGUCCAGACUCCUACGGGAGCAGCAGUAGGGAAUCUUGCGCAAGUGGGCGAAAGCCUGACGCAGCGACGCCGCGUGAGCGAUGAAGGCCGUUGGGUUGUAAAGCGUACGUGGUGGGAGGGAAGAAGUAAGGACGAAGACUAAUACCUUGUC